rnacentral:rRNA from 1 species
CGGGGUGCAGCAGGCGCGAAACCUUUACAAUGCUGGCAACAGCGAUAGGGGGACCUCGAGUGCCAGGUUACAAAUCUGGCUGUCGUUGUGUCUAAAAAACACGAUAUAGCAAGGGCCGGGCAAGACCGGUGCCAGCCGCCGCGGUAACACCGGCGGCUCGAGUGGUAACCGUUAUUAUUGGGUUUAAAGGGUCUAUAGCCGGCCUGGUUAGUCCUUUGGGAAAUCCGGCAGCUCAACUGUCGGGCUUUCAGAGGAUACUGCCAGGCUCGAGACCGGGAGAGGUAAGAGGUACUUCAGGGGUAGGGGUGAAAUCUUGUAAUCCUUGAAGGACCACCAGUGGCGAAGGCGUCUUACCAGAACGGAUCUGACGGCAAGGGACGAAAGCUAGGGGCACGAACCGGAUUAGAUACCCGGGUAGUCCUAGCCGUAAACGAUACUCGCUAGGUGUCGGCCACGGUGCGACCGUGGUCGGUGCCGUAGGGAAACCGUGAAGCGAGCCACCUGGGAAGUACGGCCGCAAGGCUGAAACUUAAAGGAAUCGGCGGGGGAGCACAAGGGCGAAUCGC